rnacentral:rRNA from 1 species
GUUGCCAGCAUUUAAGGUGGGGACUCAGAUGAGACUGCCGGUGACAAACCGGAGGAAGGUGGGGACGACGUCAAGUCAUCAUGGCCCUUAUGUCCUGGGCUACACACGUGCUACAAUGGCCGGUACAGAGUGAAGCGAAACCGCGAGGUGAAGCAAAACGCAGAAAGCCGGUCUCAGUACGGAUUGGAGUCUGAAACUCGACUUCGUGAAGUUGGAAUCGCUAGUAAUCGCGCAUCAGCAUGGCGCGGUGAAUACGUUCCCGGGCCUU